GACGAACGCUGGCGGCGUGCUUAACACAUGCAAGUCGAACGGAAAGGCCCUGCUUUUGUGGGGUGCUCGAGUGGCGAACGGGUGAGUAACACGUGAGUAACCUGCCCUUGACUUUGGGAUAACUUCAGGAAACUGGGGCUAAUACCGGAUAGGAGCUCCUGCUGCAUGGUGGGGGUUGGAAAGUUUCGGCGGUUGGGGAUGGACUCGCGGCUUAUCAGCUUGUUGGUGGGGUAGUGGCUUACCAAGGCUUUGACGGGUAGCCGGCCUGAGAGGGUGACCGGCCACAUUGGGACUGCGAUACGGCCCAGACUCCUACGGGAGGCAGCAGUGGGGAAUAUUGCACAAUGGGCGGAAGCCUGAUGCAGCAACGCCGCGUGCGGGAUGACGGCCUUCGGGUUGUAAACCGCUUUCGCCUGUGACGAAGCGUGAGUGACGGUAAUGGGUAAAGAAGCAUCGGCUAACUACGUG
rnacentral:rRNA from 1 species